UACGUAGGGUCCAAGCGUUAUCCGGAAUUACUGGGCGUAAAGCGUGUGCAGGUGGGUGUUUAAGUGAGGUGCGAAAUCCUACGGCUCAACCGUAGGACUGUAUCUCAUACUGGACACCUAGAGGAUGGCAGAGGCAAGCGGAAUUAGCGGUGUAGGGGUGAAAUCCGUAGAUAUCGCUAGGAACACCAAUGGCGAAGGCAGCUUGCUGGGCCACUCCUGACACUCAGACACGAAAGCGUGGGGAGCGAACAGG
rnacentral:misc_RNA from 1 species